GGGAUCGAACCCAGGGCCUCAUGCAUGCUAGGCAAGCGCUCUACUACUGAGGCACAACCCCAUCCCCCAAAAGCUCUUCUUAAUGCAAGAAUUUUCAAAGGUGAAAUGAUAAGAUUUCAAGAGCUGCAACUGGAUCCCUCCAUCCUCGUUUGAAUGGACUGACUGGGGGGUGGGGUGUGGCUGGCAGAGUUUGGUCACUGGGGUUGUGUCGGGGAUAGUUUGUUUCUACCACUGCAUCCCCCUUCUCUCUGCUUCAUGAUCCUGCCUUGAGCUGAGCAACUUUGCUGAGCUGCUCUCCCAUGAUCUUCUGCCUCACCUUAAGCCCACAGCAAUAGACAAAGUCGUGUAUAAACUGAACCUCUGAAACUGGGAGCCCCAAAUAAACUUUUGCCCUUCUCAAUUGUUCUCAUCGAGUAUUUUGGUCAUAGUAGUAAAAGGCUAAAACACUGCUUUUUCAUGUCAAUGGGAAUAAGAACAUUUCUGCUAUCAGGCCAUCUUCUGACAGUGCUGAGCAUGGCUCAGUGACAUAACUCUUGGCCAGGUUCCAGGGUCAGAAGCCUGUUUUUGCUCUUUCCUGUACUACUAAUGUGCUAAUAGAAAACUUAGCGUCCAGAAGUGCUCCUUGAAUAGGUUCUUCCUCCUCUUUGACAACUCUUUGCAAAUGUUCACUUAGUACAGUACAUGAGGUACUGCGCAGAUGGAGUUGUCUCAGGUAAGGUUAGACACAGACUGAGAUAGUGGCCUGAAACUGGAUGUGGAUGCAGUUGGCUAGUAAGGAAUGUGGCAGCAGAUGUAGGCACGGCCACCAAGCAUAUUCACAUCUGGGAACAAUGAAUUUUUGGUUUACCUUGACUUACACUUUGAAAACUCCUUUGUGGCUAGGAAACGACUAUGUACUGAUGUAUCAAGUUGAGUCAUUUCAGCUGCUGGACAGCUCUAUAGAUGGACUGUUCUUGGGUUGUUCAAUAGAGUUUCCCCAGAUUGAGUGCAGGGAAGAUAAAUUUUAAGGUGCUAACUUUCACAAAACUGUAUUGUCA
rnacentral:lncRNA from 1 species